AGAUGUUCUAAAGAUAAGCAUGAACUUAACUUGGAAAACACUAAUGACCCUGGAAGGCUCCCACAAUGGGAAGCAUAUGUAAGAUGCCCUUGGAGUAUUGCAAGAAAGGAAUGUAGGGAGUAGCUUUAUGGUUAAUGGUUGCAGCUAUGAGCUAUGGGAGAGGAGGGACACUCCAAUUAAGAUAACAGGGUUUUGUGGAGAUGGGCACCCAGAAAGUAAACAGUAGUAUCAGGAGCCCAGAAGAUAAAGAAAACAAAAUGGGUUUGCUCCUAAUGCUGGCUGAUCUGAUCUGCAGCGAAGAUGGGUCUGUUCUUGAGGGUAGAGUCCUUGUAAGCACUCAACCCAAUGUUUAUGACAACUGUAAUCUUUCACCACAAAUGCUUAAUAGCUGCUAGUGCUUAAUAACUCACUGUUGCUCUACUGAGUUGCUGUAUGAACAUGAAUUGGGAUUAGGUUUCAGAAGGGAAAUUAUUAGUUCUACUAAUCAUGUUGUCCAGCAGCUCUAUCUAACUUUGAGCACCAGGUCACAGCAAAGACAGGAUUUCAUAGUUUUUGUAUCCCAGACAAGUUACUGGGGAAAAUUUUUCAAGUAGAGCCAAUGACAACUGCUGUAAAAGGUGUAAUUUUGCAGCAUUUACAUUUACAGCAUUUACAACAUUUACUUUAGUGUUUUCAGGUAAGUUUAACUAUGUUGAUUUGCUGAUAUAUUCCCUGGGGUGGGAGCUUAUUGGAUAAAACAGAGUAAGUCAUUAUCCAGUAAUCACUAACUGUAUUCCAAUCUAUUAGCAAUACAUCUGCUUUCUCAUUUACCUCUAGCAUGUUUUCCAUCUGCGAUGACAGAAGCUGUAAAUAGCUCUCUAAGGAAAGAAGAGAAUCUACAUGGUUGCGGUUGCUCUGUGACAGAAGAAACAGAAACACUUUGUAAAGCACAGUUAUUUUACAUAAAAGGAGGUAAAAAUCCAAGUCUGAGAGGAAAUAGAGCACAGCUCUGUGAAAUACCGCUGCUGACCCCUGCCAUCAAGUCUUUGUCCUGAUGGGAGAUGUCAAGCUGCUAGAACAAGCAGAAUAACUCCAUGGCAGGAACAUCCAUACUCUGUCCCACGACAGCAGAACUGGACUUCCCUCCUCUCCAAGGCUGCACUUACUAACCCACCACUGUGGAAAAUUCAAGUGUUUUGUCAAAGCCUAGCUGCCAGGGCAGUGGUGAACAGAGGGGCUGGCAAGAAACCUGGAUCCGAUGUUCUCAGCUCUUGAAACGUCACAAAGAGAUUGAAUGGUCUUUUCAUUGUAACUCCCAGAAGAACAAACCCCAAAGUGCAGAUGUUUCGGUUUAACAUUAUUAUUUCUCCACCUUAUAGUUACAAUAGUCACGUUAAGAUCUGAACAAUCCAUUUUCCCAAAUGUAUUUCUACAUCUGAGCAUCAAUCUUUACAUGAAUGGUGAAAACAGUGUAAUUUAGUAUCUACACCUCUAGUGUUUGUAGUUCCCCAAAAAAUCCUUGCCCACAAAUGCACCACCUUCAUGAUGGAUAAAAUAAAACCAAUUUGACAAAU
ensembl:lncRNA